CGGGGAGAAGACUUCCCGGCCAUCCUACAAUCGCAGGACUCUGCUUCAUUCUAGAGAACUUUCACAAGCCCUGGAGCACAGAAGGAGUCCUGCUGUCCAGAUGAGGAAGCUGAGCUCAGAGAGAUUCACUAACUUACCUGCAGCCACACAGCUGAGGAAGCUGCUGUCCAGUGAAGCUGGGUGACUUGACAGUGCUUACAGAGCCAAUAAGCAGUGCAGCCAAGCUUCAAAAUCCGUCUUCUGAUUCUAAACCAGGCUCUUCACUUCUACACAACACUUCUUCCAGAAGCUUCUGUGGAUCCCGACUCGAGGAGAGUGGACGAGAGACACAGGAAGCUCAGGGGGAGGAGCUCAUUCAGGAAGGGAAAAAUGAUUACUUUCUGAUUGUGUUGGUUUUGAA
rnacentral:lncRNA from 1 species